UCCAGACUCCUACGGGAGGCAGCAGUGGGGGAUAUUGCACAAUGGGGGGAACCCUGAUGCAGCGACGCCGCGUGGGUGAAGGAGUAUUUCGGUAUGUAAAGCCCUAUCGGCAGGGAAGAAGCAAGACGGUACCUGACUAAGAAGCCCCGGCUAACUACGUGCCAGCAGCCGCGGUAAUACGUAGGGGGCGAGCGUUAUCCGGAUUCACUGGGUGUAAAGGGAGCGUAGACGGCAAUGCAAGCCAGAUGUGAAAGCCCGGGGCUCAACCCCGGGACUGCAUUUGGAACUGUGUAGCUGGAGUGUCGGAGAGGCAGGCGGAAUUCCUAGUGUAGCGGUGAAAUGCGUAGAUAUUAGGAGGAACACCAGUGGCGAAGGCGGCCUGCUGGACGAUGACUGACGUUGAGGCUCGAAAGCGUGGGGAGCAAACAGGAUUAGAUACCCCUGUAC
rnacentral:rRNA from 1 species